UGCUGUUAAUGAUGAUUUAAAGUUGAAACAGAUGGGAAUCUCUCUGAAAGAGAAUGAAGAUUAACUUUAAACUGAAACAGUA
rnacentral:snoRNA from 17 species